UUUCCUUUCAUGUCUUAGUUUUGCCACCUUAGGUAAAAACACUGACUUCUAUUUUCUCUAUUUCUCCUUUUUUUCUUGGUCUCACCGUAGGAACCCCCCCCCUUCUCUCUUCCAGUUUGUACUAGUUGUGAAAACUGCAGAAUUUUGAGCAAGUAAACAAAUAUAUGAGUAAGAACUUUUUACUUAUAUUUUACUAAAUUUAAUUGAAGUAUAACAGACACAGGGAAAAAUGCGCAGAUUACAAGUUUCGGCUCAAGUAAUGUCACGUGGUGAGUGAACCACCAUGUGCCCAGCUCCAGCUCAAGAGACAAGAAGCACUGGCCGCUGAGAAGCUGCUCUGAGCUGUUCCGGUAGUUGCCCCUGCCCAAGCCGGCCUGUGAUGGUUAAUACUGAGCGUCAACGUGAUUGGACUGAAGGAUGCAAAGCAUUGAUCCUGGGAGUGUCUCUGAGGGUGUUACCAAGGAGAUUCACGUUUCAGUCAGUGGCUGGGAAAGGCAGCCCCACCUCGAUCUGGUGAGCACCAUCUAAUCAGCUGCCUGUGAAUAUACAGACAUACGUGAAAAGGUGAGACUGACCCAGCCUCCCAGCUGGACACUUCCUGCCCUCACAAGUCAGCCUCCACGUUCUUCAGUUUGGAGACUCGAGCUGGCUCUCCUUGCUCCUCAAGCUUGCAGACAGCCUAUUGUGGGACCUUGUGAUUAUGCCUUUUAUUACCAUUUUUUCCCUUAUUUCACUGAAUAGAAUCUCUAGGACGUCAAGCAGGAGCGGUGAGGAGAGGUCGCCAGCACCGUGUACAGGAGAGGUCGCCAGCACCGUGUACAGGAGAGGUCGCCAGCACCGUGUACUGGAGAGGUCGCCAGCACCGUGUACAGGAGAGGUCGCCAGCACCGUGUACAGGAGAGGUCGCCAGCACCGUGUACAGGAGAGGUCGCCAGCACCGUGUACUGGAACAUGCACCGUGUGCUGGGGGCUUUAUAGCCAUUGUUGUGUCUCUCUAGAGCCCUGCAAGCAGGUAUUAUCUCUCUAUGAAAAUGAGGAAGCAGAUCCCGCAAAAGGAAGUAUGUUGCAGAGCUGCAGCUGCUGAAAAAAAGGCCGUGUGAGAAUGUAAGCUCAGGUCUGUCUGCCUCCGAAAUUGUUCCUUUUAUAGAGAGAGGAAUGUUCAGGGCAUCCAAGAAACUCGUGUGUGUGUGAGUGUGAGUGUGUGUGUGAGUGUGUGUGUAUGUGUGUGUAUUUGUGUGAAUCUGAGUGUGUGUAUGUGUGUGUGAGUGUGGGUGUGAAUCUGUGUGUGUGAGGAUGUAUGUGUGUUUGUGUGAGAAUGUGUGUGUGAAUCUGUGUGUGUGAAUCUGUGUGUGAGAAUGUAUGUGUGUGUAAAUCUGUGUGUGAGUGUGUGAAUCUGUGUGUGAGAAUGUACGUGUGUGUUUGUGUGUGUGUGAAUCUGUGUGUGUGAGAAUGUGUGUGUUUGUGUGUGAGAGAAUGUAUGUUUGUGUGUGUGAGAAUGUAUCUGUGUUUGUGAGUGUGUGUGUGAGAAUGUAUGUUUGUGUGUGAGAAAAUGUAUGUGUUUGUGAGAAUGUGUGUGAGAAUGUAUGUGUGUUUGUGUGUGAGAGAGAAUGUAUGUGUGUGUGUGAGAAUGAAUGUGGUUUGUGUGUGUGAGAGAAUGUAUGUUUGUGUGUGUGAGAAUGUAUGUGUGUGUUUGUGUGUGUGAAUGUAUGUUUGUGUGUAUGAGAAUGUGUGUGAGAAUGUGUGUGAGUGUGUGUGUGAAUGUAUGUGUGUUUGCGUGUGUGAGAGAAUGUGUGUGAGAAUGUAUGUGUGUGUGAGAAUGUGUGUUUGUGUGUGUGUGAGAAUGUAUGUGUUUGUGUGUGUGAGAGAAUGUAUGUUUGUGUGUGUGAGAAUGUAUGUGUGUGUGUUUGUGUGUGUGAAUGUAUGUGUUUGUGUAUGAGAAUGUGUGUGAGAAUGUAUGUGUGUGAGUGUGUGUGUGAAUGUAUGUGUGUUUGCGUGUGUGAGAGAAUGUGUGUGAGAAUGUAUGUGUGUGUGAGAAUGUGUGUUUGUGUGUGUGUGAGAGAAUGUAUGUGUGUGUGUGUGUGUGUGUGAGACUGUGUGUGUGUUUGUGUGUAUGUGUGUGCAUUUCUCUAGGCAGAGGACCUGUAGCUUUCAUUAGAUUCUCAGAGAGGUCUAUGACUCCAACAAUGUUACGGAACAUGGAUUUAUGUAGACAUCUUAAGGAACCCUUCCAAGUAUUUUGUAAGGUGGAAAGCUAAAGCCCUCAGGAUCUGGUGCACCCUUCUUUACACAUCAAAACCUAAGUGAAUAUUUGCAGGGGGCAGGUGACAGGGCACAACUUUUCCUAUUAAUAGGAUUCUUCCUUUUCAAUGACACGAAUACACAUCAAACACCUGUACUCUCACCUUAGAUGAGCUCCUAAACAGAGCAUAACUUUUUCUUCCCUGUAUGCCCCAAAGCAUGUGGCAGAAAGAGAAAAUGGUCACCCCCAGGGCUAAGUGGCAUGAAGCAGGCAGUGAGCUCCUGAGGAUGGAGGUCAGUGAUUGGAGUGGACGGAUCAGCACGAGCUCAGGAAGGAGCUUGGGGAGCAAUGCAGGUAGCAUCUGCUCACGUGAGAAGGUGAAACAGCUUUGAGAAUGGCUGAAUUUUCCACAUACUCACUUCACACAGAGCUUCUGGUAACUCAAUUAUUUGUAACCAGAGGAGCCCACUCCGGUGGUGAGACCCACUGGGCCCUGCACACCCACCGUCAUCACCAUAUGUGCCAACCCCUUGUGGUGGACACAGCACUGUGCCAACUGCUUCCUGCUCAUUUUUCCCUAAGUUCUUCUCUUGAUCACCUAAUAAAGAAUAUUUUACAGACGAAGAGCUGAAUCUUAGAGAGGUUAAGUCACUUGCUCCAGGUCACCCAGAGAGUAAGCGGUGGCUCUAGGAUGGGAACUAGGCUGCCUUCGACCUGCUGAUUAACAAUUUGAAGGCCCUGGGCCCCAGGAGGGUCAGCGUCCACCCCAGUCUCCCUGGAGUUCGGUUCUAAUUUUUGUUUUCCCAUCUGCUGGCUCCAGCAGCUUGGACCAGAUGGUGACGUCACCUCCCACGCAGGUUCAUUUUCUUCUCGGGAAGGGGUGCUAAGAAGCCAGUUUUCACAAAUCACAGAAGCAAAGCAGAGGGGACACCUGGCGCUCUGGGGGAUGGGGUUGGAGGUUCCCAGAAAGGUGCGGCGGGGAGAGCGCCACGGACUGGCAGUGUGCCCUUGGCAAAACACAGCAUUCCAAAAAAGGAAAACAGAACAGAUCAGUUUAGAGGCCUCUAGAAUCAUGGGGCUAAUUGGGAUUGUGACAGGAUUAGGAGUAGGAACCCAAGCUCACAAAGCUUUCAUC
rnacentral:lncRNA from 1 species